UAUAGGCACAAGACCUCAGAUUUUGGAGGGGGAAGAUGUUUAGUUAUUAAGUCAAUACCAAUAUUUGACUGGUACUUUAUUUUAUUGAUCCCAGGGGGAUGAAAGGCAAAACUGACUUUCAUAGGAUUUGAAAUCAGGACACAGAUGAAACAAACACUGCAAGGCAUUUCAUUCAGUGCUAUAAUUCAGCCAAUUCAAUAAUCGUAAUACUUCUAUAACAUAUAAUGACAUAUUC